rnacentral:rRNA from 1 species
CAGCAGCCGCGGGAAUACCAGCAGCCCAAGUGGUGGUCGCGAUUAUUGGGCCUAAAGCGCUCGUAGCCGGGCCGGUAAGUCCCUUGUGAAAUCGGACGGCCUAACCGUUCGGCGUGCAAGGGAUACUGUCGGUCUUGAGGCCGGGAGACGUCCGAGGUACUCCGGGGGUAGCGGUGAAAUGUUCUGAUCCUCGGGGGACCACCGGUGGCGAAGGCGUUCGACGAGAACGGGCCUGACGGUGAGGGGCGAAGGCUAGGGGAGCAAACGGGAUUAGAGACCCCAGUAGUCCCUGUCUCUUAUU